rnacentral:rRNA from 1 species
GACGAACGCUGGCGGCGUGCUUAACACAUGCAAGUCGAACGGGACGGCCCUGCUUUUUUGGGCUCGUCGAGUGGCGAACGGGUGAGUAACACGUGAGUAACCUGCCCCUGACUUUGGGAUAACUUCAGGACACUGGGGGUAAUACCGGAUAGGAGCUCCUGCUGCAUGGUGGGGGUUGGAAAGUUUCGGCGGUUGGGGAGGGACUCGCGGCCUAUCAGCUCGAUGGUGUGGUAGUGGAUUACCAAGGCUUUGCCGGGUAGCCGGGCUGAGAGGGUGAGAGGCCACGCUAGAAUUGGGAUGAGACACAGACUAGUACGGGACGCAAGGGUGCAGAAGAGUACACAAUGGGCGGAGGGCAGAUGCAGCAACGCCGCGUGCGGGAUGACAGGAAGGGGGUAGGAUACCAAUGUCGCCUGAGACGAGGCGAGAAUGACGGUAACGGGUAAAGAAGCACCGGCUAACUACGUG